CCUUGGCUAGCGAAGAUGAGUGUGUGUGGAUUCAUCAUAUCCACGAUGAUAAGAAUCUUGCAAGUACAGAAUAUAACCAUCUUCAUUUGUACAUACAUAGAUAGAAAUAUAUAUCCACAUUCAGUUUGAGGAACGUCAUUCCAUUUUAUGUAUGUUUGUGUGAUUUUUUAUGAUAUGGUUGGUGAAAAUUAGCUACGUUGUGAUUGUGGCAUUGUAACCUCUAUGUAACACAUUGUGUGAUUGGUGCUAAAUAUUCCGUAUGCUAUACAUGUACAUAUCAAGAUCUGUCCAUUGUUGUAAGUACAUCAGUUUUUGGUGAUUUGUGACAUUUUUAAAAAGUUUUAUAAUCAGAUCUGAUCCAUUUCCCACAGUGUAAUUAACCUAGUAGCAAGUGCCUCUCAGUAUUUGUAUUCACCGAACAGGCCUGCCAUUUUUUAGCAGGUCUGAUGUAGUACGUUGUAUAUAUUUUCAUUAUGAACUUCCAAAGAAAGAUAUAUAAUCUCAAAAACUAAAGGUAGCAUGUAUAUAUACAAGUGAAUUGGGUGCCAAUUGACAAUACUAUGAUUUUUAGACAAAACGAUAUAGAGAUGGAUACUAUUUUUGAGUUAGGUAAAGAAAGGCGAAAUAUUGACUGUAUAUUUUGUACAAAUGCCUUUUAUUAAGCAAAUAUACAGGGAUUUGAUGUUGCUCCUAUGAUAUAGUUUUAAUCUCAAGUUUUCAAGUUGUAAAUAGUUUUAUUUUUGUUGAUGUUGAACUAUAUAUAUAUUGUAAAACCUGUUCAUGGUAAUCGUGACAAAUAAAAAUUCUAUAAUGUCUC
rnacentral:misc_RNA from 1 species